UGUGAGUCAAGCUACUAAGGGCACAUGGGGAAUGCCUUGGCGCCAGAAGCCGAAGAAGGACGUAGCAAGACUGCGAUAAGCCACGAUUAGCUGCCUAGCAAGCUUAGUCGUGGAUCUCCGAAUGGGGGAACCCAUCUACUUCGGUAGUUACCUUGGUCGUAAGACCUUGGUGGUAAGCAGGGGAACUGAAACAUCUAAGUACCCUGAGGAAAGUAAAUCAACAGAGACUCCCCUAGUAGCGGCGAG
rnacentral:rRNA from 1 species